rnacentral:tRNA from 1 species
GACGGCUUAGCAAAGUGGUUACUGCGAUUGAUUAGAAUUAACUUCACGAUCAAUUCCUCUUCGAGGGCGUAGGUUCGAAUCCUACAGUCGUCG